GACCUUUGUGGGCUGUGCCCCAAAAUGCCAACGGCUGGGGCCUAUCCCGCUCCCCAGCAGGCUGGAGAGACCCUCAGGCCGGCCUGGCUCAGGUCCGAGCCACGAAUGGGGUUUGCUGGGGCACCUGGGGCCCAGCAGGCCCUGGGGGAGCACCCGGCCAGGCCCAGAGGGGAGCUGUAGAGGGCAGAGUCUGGCACCAGGCUGCGUAACUUCAUUUUAAAGCACUAACUGUGAUUUUUAUGGGGAGAGUUUGCAGGUAAGGCUUUCCGUCAUUGCAGAGUUCGUGUUGGACCGAUAAGUGACCAUCACCAGGACUGUAGGAGUCCUGUCAGUGCUGUCUACGUGGUCUGGAGCACCUGGAGAGAAAUGGAGCAAGAUGUGGCUCCUUCCCCUUGCCCUCAGCAACAGUGAUGCAGGGCUAUAGAGGAAGAGCAGCAGGUAGAAGAGCUGCUGCUCCUGGCUGCCUUCCCCUGAUGCUUUUGGGGGUCCUGCCCACGCGUGGUGGCAGGGAGGUGCUCCCCAGGGCCUCACAUAAGCAAUGUUCUUCAUUCUAAGGGUGCCUAGGACUCAUGGAACCUUACUGGAGUUCAUAGCGAACUCUAUAAUUAGCAUGAUUUUAACUUGCAAUAGUACCAGGAGGCUGUUUCUGCUUUGCAUAGCUUACUAGAAAAGAUAUUUUUAAUUUCCUGCAUGAGCACCUUGUAUAGAAGAACAUGUGCUGUGGCUUUUGUCAGGAGACAGCAUGAACUGCAUUUUCCAAUGUAAAGAUCGGCAAGCGUGCAGUCCGCAUCAAAAUGCUUUCCCCAAGCAUCCAUUAGAUCAGCCAGGGGAAAGUACUGCUGGAUGUGAAGGAUGCUUGUACCCUUGCUCAGGGCAAAUGCCCACUCUUGUUCCCACUGGAGUCAAAGAAGCUUGCCAUUGAGAUUAUUUGUAGUUAAACUGGGGGAGUGAUCUGAGAAGCCUUCCAGCAUGAAGGAUGUAAAGUAGGAAUGAAUGGGAAGAGCCUUAAGUGAAAUGAGGGAGGCGAUAUUCUAGGAGAAGGAGAGAGUCUGAUAAAAUCAGACAGUAAAACAUACACAUAAAACUGCAGAACUUACUUUGGAAGAGUAGCUGUGUGCUUACAAGCUUGGCACAGCUUUAAUUUUUACUUUGUCUGCUUGCUUCGGGCUUCCUUCUGCAGAGAAGGUCCUGCGCUCUGCAGUGAGUGAGCCUGUGGUGCUCCUGGAGCAGACCAGAGCUUGCAGAGCCAGAGGAGACCUUCACUGUCUUCAUGUGCCUUCCCUGUAACAUUCACUGCCCUGGAGUGGCUGUGCUUGGCCAGCAUGUCAGAUCGGUAGGGCAUUAGAAAUAUUACAGGCUAUUAAAUACACUGUUGGAGUGUUUGGCUGGACUAACUGUUGCUUUUAACAGAGUUGAGAUCUGAGAUCUUUGGGUCUGACGGGGUUUGGAUGUAAACUUUGUUCAUUUGGUUUUUGAAGAAGGAAGUGCUUUGGUGCUUUGAAGGGAAAAAAAAAUGAAGGCAGUACUGCAAGUCUCUUCCUUAAAUCAAAGUUUGCUGUUUGAAAUGGGAACAACUCAGCAGAGCAGUUUAAGUAAACAUUGCCAUAACCGCUUAUCUGAGACACUGGCAUCCUCUCUUUUUGCUGUGCUGCUUUCUUGUGGUAUCCUGGAGUCGCUUUCAUAGAUGUAUACAUCUAUGUCCAUUUGCUAGUUGUCGCCCAAUGUUGAGACUUUGGCUCAGGAGCCUGCUCUAGCACUGUAGGUUUUCCGGAUCCCCUCUGUGGCUGAGGUUUUUCUCUUGGCUGAAAGGACCUUCCCCCUGCUACCCGCUGUUUUCUCUCUGCCAGGCACGGCUUCUUCAUUUGUUAUGGGGAAAAAACAGAUGCAACCGUUCCUGAGUCAUCUCAAGGUAGUGUUUAGCAGAGAAGAUAAAAUCAAGGCCAAGACAGCAAGUGCCUGAUGCUGUCCUGUUGGAGCCUAUGAGGGGUGUCAAUGAGCAUAGUAUAAACACCAGGAGAACUGCACAAAGUCAUGCAUGUGGGUGAGAGGUAAGGAAUUAGGUGCUGUCCUCUACCGUCAGUGCCUGAGCAUAGGAUCGUAUUUUUUUACUAGGUAGAAAAACUGCACCAUAUUGCACAAAUGGCUUAUUUAAAGCCUGGGUGUUUUUGCCUGUGUGUUAAAGCACUGGGUUUCUUAUCCACGGCACGCUGAUCCAUAUAAGUAACUUUUGUACACUUAAGUGGGCAAGAGGAAUAAAAUCAAUUAGGGAAGGAGAGGAGAAGACUCUGCCUCUCUGCCAGUUCUGUGAUGCUUCAGGUAAUGCUGCAUCAGGACAAGGCUGGUGAUCUCAGGUGCAUUUUAGUCAUAUUAUUUAAAAAAAAGAAGGCAAAAGACCAACGAUGUUCCUUGUUGAAUUGGUAUCCGAAAUGAAGAAGUUACUACACAUAGGAAUGUAAGUAUAUUCUACUGCCUCUGUCAAUCUAGCACACAGAAAGAGCUUCUCCUCUGUUUGGAUCUGCUCUUCUUUCAUAAUGGGCAGCAACUUGUUUACUAAUGCUUGAAAGCAUGUACACAUCAAAUAAAUCUCUGGUAUUUGGGCCAUAGUGUACUAGCAUUUUGCAAAGGGAAGAUUAACCACACACUAUAUUAAGCUGUGAUCCACUUUACUCUUGAUUCCUAGCUACAGUAAAUCAGUCAAACCAUCAAAGAACAAAAUUAGUGGAAGGGUUCCUCAGACAAUAGAUUUAUUUCCAUAUUUAUUUGCAUUAUUGUUAAGAAAAGGGCAAUCAGAAGAGCUAAUCUCUGUGGGACUCAGGCUGUUACAAAUUAAUCGAAGUGAGUUUUUGGGUGCAGAAAGCCAGCAACAAAUGAAAUACUGUGGAGCUGCAUGAUAUAGUGUGCAUUAUAUUGCUGCAACAACUGAGACACAAUGCACUCGCUUUGACUGUCGGUGCUGUUAAUAGAUAGUCUUCAACAAGCAUUAUAUUGGCAAAUCUUAUGCAGACUGAAUUUGCAACCGUGACUCAAAAGACUUUCCUAGCGUGAAGCAUCUUUAUUGCAUAUCAUUUUAGCUCUUUCCUGUUUUUACUCUGCUCUCUUUCAGUGAAAAGGUCAAGGAAAGCAGUAGCUCAGUGGCUCAGUUUUUCAGGAGUGCUUUACAGCAGGGAAAGUGGGGAAACCUCUUAAAGUGGUAUCUUAUUCAGUAAGUUAGGCCUUUUGUUCUUUUUUCCUCUUUAUUUGCUGUUGAAUUUUCUCCAUCAAAUUAAUUAGAGGGACUUUUGAGGCAGCUCCAGACUGGUGCAAAGCUCCUCCUGCCCCCUGCGGUUCUCUCCAUCCCCCAGAGAGGCAGCCUUUGCCCUGAGAAACCUGUCAGCCCACCUUAUAUACCUCAUAACACGACUGUCCAUCUGCACUGUCCAAGGUUGGGUUGCCAUAUUCAGAGAAUUAUCACACAGUUUGCGUGCGCCUCUUCCUUCACUUUCCCUGCACGUCUGUGUGCGCGCACCCACACACUUCAGUAGUGCCCUCCCUUCUUCACUGCACCGUAACUCACUGCACUCUGAAGGCCGCCUUCUGCAUCAGUGAGAGAUUUUCAGCGCCCUGGAGGGAAGCUUUUGGGCCCUCCCUGAAGCAGUGGAUGCGUAUGUUUGAUUUCACUUACCCCAUCGGUGCUGGGAAUUAAAAAACCAGACAGCUGUAUCCUUUAUAGUAACAGAAAUGGAGAAACAGGAAUGUUUCCUUGAUGUAGAAUAAUCUUUAGGGAGGACUCUAAAGCGAAGGUCAGAGCCUUAAAAAGUGCUGCAUAUUCAAAUUUAAUUUAUAACAUUAAAUUAGAGCAGCUUAUAAGUGCAACCAGCUUUAAGGAUGCUAAGUAUUGCCAGAGGAGGCUGGAAGGGCUUCUGGCUGGCCAGCAAUACUUGCGAUUGGGCCUGAUGCUGCUUACUGUGAUGUUGUUGCACACCUGAUAACUGCUGCGUUGUUUUGCAGGUACGAGUUCCUUUUCUCACAUCUUUUCAUGCCUCAUUUGCUAACUUCCAUUCCACAAACUGGCAGGAUGACGGCAGGCAACUCCCUCUGCCUUUUGUGUUACAACUAAUCCUUGGGGUUCUUUCUAAUGCGUCUCCAGAAAUGCGUCUGCAACUUAGGCUAAAAGCUGACUUGGUUUGUAAUACUGAAAUGUGGACGGUGCAGAUAGCUUUCUGAGUGCUCUCUCUCUCUCUCUUAGAAAUAAAUCAUUGUAGAGGUGUGUGUGAAUGCUCCCACAGUUUUAAGCUCUCUGUCGCAGUAAAAACAUGUUAAAAAUACAGAUGUGCUUUGGCACAGGCUUCAAUGCUUUGCCGAAUCCCCGCGUUUGGCUUCGUUUAGCACAUUUGGAGUUUGCCAAGUAACAAUUACAUGACCGUUCAGUUAACAGGUUGUGGUAUUGGAAUUCUCUGACUCGUGCUUUUCCUGCUUCGGAGUGAUUGACAGAUUUUUAUUUUGAUUUCAGAUUAUGUGGCUUGUUUUACUUCAGCGUUCUUUUACUUAAUGUGUGAUUUAAUUAAAACUUGGUUACGGUGAUUGAUAGUUACUUUAUUUGAUACCUGUUUGUAGACAUUUUAUUCAUUACUUUCUCUGUGUACCGAUAUUUGUCAGAAGAGAAUGAUAUUAUUUCUUUUGUCAAUGGAAAUGAGGUUGUAAAUUACUGUAAUUUUGGGAUACGUUGCCGGUAUGAGCAAACAGUAUUCCCUCGGUGAGUUUUCCGCUGUGGAAACCUGGGCUACGCAUGAUAUAUUCUAGACAAGACCUGUGUUCUUCUGAAGAGUAGCACUGUGUGGCCUCAGCCCCACGUACCUUGGUGCAGCCACCUGCUGGCUUCUUCCCAGAUGGUCUGUGGGCGGCAGCACGAGGUCCCGAGCCGGGGGUCCCCCCAGUCGCCAAAGAUGGAGAUGGAGGCCGUAGAGAUGUGUGACUCGAUAGUUUACUGACAACUACAAAAGAGUCGGGCAAAACUGCGACUGAGAGCUGGCUGUGGGAGGAAGGAGGAUGUGUUCUUCCCCGCUCGAAUCAUAGCGUUCACAUUCUUGGCAGCGUCGUGGAGCUUGGCUAUAGCUUCUGGUUUACAUUUUAGAAAUGUACCGAAUAGCAUAUAGUGUUUAAUUCCGGGUUGCGUUACGCAACGGAAGGCGAUUGCCUCAGUGCAGCACAUCUGCGUUGCGAGAGGAAGCUCUCCUGGGAAACGAGCGCAUCUUCCGCUGAAGUCAGAGCGAGGCGUGGGCCGGGCAUUGCUAUUUUGGCAAGCAGAGGGAGUGAGCGCUGGAAAGCUGCCUCACCUUUCACUUUCCAUGGAACUUACCCUUUCUCCUUCUUUCAGGCACCCGGCUGCUGCCCACUUGUUCUGGUUCUGGGGAUGCUUUUAGCGGUCGAUGAAACAGUCGGUCUGGGCUCUGGGAGUUGUGAUCUUUGCUGCGUGGUGUGUUUCUGGUCCGCGGGCAGGGUAGGUUGUCAAGGAGAGGUGAGGAAUGCAAUCUGAAAAACAUCUGGAAGAGCUAAGGAAAUGUUUAAGGGGGAAAAAAAACACCUCUGUUACUGAAUCUCCUUAUACCGAUAAGUCAGCAGUGGUCAUUGAUAGGUGCAGAAUUCCUGUCAUUCUUAUACUGGCUCUCAAUUCACUACUUCUGAGCCUCUCUUUGCUGGAAGCAAAAGGUCAGGCUCAGCUGAAGCUCCUCCCGCCAUCCUAAAGUGUGGUUAUCAGUGCCCCUUUUCCUCUUAUUAUCAACGUGCUUUAUAUUUUCAUGGCGGUAGUUAGCACAGACUUUCCAACAGUGCCUAUAGCAGUGUAAUUGGUUUUCUCUGUCUGACCGAAACGAGAUGGUUCUACCUUUAGUGGGGCACUUUGGGUGCUUUCUAACACGGCGUUCUUUUAAGCAGGCUGGGGGCUCGGUUGAGCAGGUUGUCGUGUGGGUGCAGAGAGUUUUACCAGGCACUAUUCAAAGUGGUUGUUCAUGGUUUACUGUUAAAUUGCAAGUCUGGCGUGAGUGAGAUUCCCGAGGGAUCUGUCCUGGCUGUGGUAAUACUCAUUGUUUUCAUUACUGGAAUGGCUGCUGGAGCAGCGAGAGCAGUUAUUACAUUUACAUAGGAUAAGAAGUGUGGAGAGGGGUGCAGGCUCCCAGAAAGGCAAAACUGAAGUUCAGUCUUGCCCUAACUAACUGGAGGAAUGGUUUUGUGGGGAAAAAUUAUAGGGAACAAACCUAUAAGCACUGUGUAUAGGCGUGGAAGUGCCCAUGCGUGGCAUGGGAUGGGGAAUGGCUGACAGUGGUCCUGCAGCAGAAGGCCUGUGGGCUGGAGUGGAGCUGUGCUGCAGGUAGAUAGGCCUGGUUUAGUUGAAUAGGGUGUUAAAAAAUUACAGCUGGCUCCCAGACCACCAGAGGAAACCAGCCUCCAGCGUGUCCUGCUCUCCUCUCCCCCGGGAGCUGUGCUGCUGGGGCUGUGCUGAGCCGGUGGCUUUGCCCUCCCUCCCCUGCAUGCCUGGGCUCCCACCCUGCUGCUGGCAUCCCUGCCUUGGCAUGGGAAAGAGCCCCAGCUCCGCUGCUCCCAAAUCUGAUCCGUGCUUGCAGGACAGCGUGGCUGUGAGUAAAGGGAUUGCAGAGUGAGCUCCCCCCCCAAAACAAGCAUCAUUCUGGGAUAUGUUGAGAAAAUAUCUGAAAUACCCCAUCCGCUUGGCGUUGGGAGUGGCUCAGCACCCAGCUUGGGGUACAGCACUGUGAGGAGCCAGCUGGAUGGCGUCCAGAGAGAAGGCAGUGAAAGCCAUCAAAGGUUUGGGAAACACCACCUGGGAAGGAAGAUGAAAGAAUUGGGAUUGUUUAGUCUACAAGGAAGAAGGCCAAUAAGAGGCAUGAGAGCAGUGUGCAAGUAUGUGGACGGCUGCUGCAGGGAGGGAGGAAGGGGAGAGACUGAGCUGCCGGGGCUAGGAUGAGAGGAAAUGGCCUUCAUCUGAAGGUGGCAAGCUGUAGGCAAACAUUUAAGAAAGCUCUCAAGCAAUAAGGGUGUUUUGGUGCUGCAGUCAUUUGCCUUUGAGAAGGCUGUGGAAGCAUCGUCACUGGAGGGUUUUAUAAAACAGACAAACCUCCUCCAGGAGUAUUUUGGGUACUGCCUUGGGGAAGGAGGUGGGAUACGUGCCUCCGAAGGUCGUUUCCUAGGGAAUCAUAAAUAACAUUUUUUGUGUGUGUACGAUCCCGUGAACUUAGGUAAACUGCAAUAACAACAAAUAACUCAAAAGAUAGUGGCAAUUCAUUAUUGCAACACAUCAGUGGUAAAUAGACAGCUGAUUUAUGCACAAAAAGUGAUGGCGAUAUUAUCCUUCUGCUCUCUGUUCUAGUUGAAAAAAAAUUCUGUGAGUAAGCUAAUUUUACUGGAACGUUUCAAAAGGCUGUUCCUGUAAAUACAUUGCUCGUAUACAGAAAUAGAGGAAGUGAUGUUGCUUGGCUCUGCUUGCUGAAAUAUUGUGCAAACGCAAUCAGUACCCGCUAAUGCACAGCGUGGCCGUAGUAAAGCCAGCGGCACGCCGUGAGGCCCAGUGCUUUUACACUAGAGCGUGACGCUGUAUUUUCAAGCUAGAUGUUCGUGUGCUUGUGUAUUUGCUCGACGUGGAGUUGGGGAGCAGGCUGAGCAGAACUAGGCUUUAAUUACCUCCUUGCUGUCUAUGUAUGAGCUGUUCUCCGUGGUCUUGUUACGAGUGCGUGAGACAGCAAUCGAAGAGCAAACCUCAAACUCACCCUUCGCUGCUGAAGGGAGAAAAGGCUUUGGCAGCUCCUGCAGCCACUGGGAAUGCAUCUCCCCAUGCACUUGGUGUUCAGGGGUGGCGCGGGGGUGGAGGAGGUGCUCUGUGGCAUGGUGUGACUUAAGGACUGUGUGGUGGUUUCCCUGCGCAGCCACUCCUCCUUUCAUUCCCUUGGGAGGUUCACCUCCGUGACUUUGCCAGUUUCUACGGGUCCCUUGAGGCCUUCUAACUGAGUUUCUGCUAUAGGAAAAAAAAAUGCGGGGUUUCUUUUGUUUGUUUUCUAAUGGUGUUGUCCCCCCAGACCCCAGGUUGCUGGGCAGGGCAGGGAACAGGAGAUCUGUGCUGGUGAGAGCGAGCUGAGCGGCAGAGGUGCUGCAGGACACGUGUAGGAGUGCCUUGACACCAGACAGCGCUUCUGCGCUGUGGGAGUGACGGAGCUCUGGCAGAAGACGCCCAGAGGCUGUGGGGUCUCCUCCUUGGAGAUCUCCAGAAGCCACCUGGACGUGGCCCCGGCACCCUGCUCCGGAUGGCUCUGCUUGGGCAGAGCUGGGACCGGGUGGGAGCAGAGGGCCCUCGCAGCCUCAGCCAUCCUGCAGCUGUGUGAGCCUCCUGAGAAGGUAGGGACAGGUAGUUUGAGUCUGGUUCUCAGCGCCGUUCCCAGCUUCACAGCCCCAAGGGCUAUUUUGUCGCUGUCGCCCCGGGACUAGCAGCACUGACAGAGGACGGCGCAGAGUUACUGUACGCCCAGCGUGGAUUUAGCGAGGCUUAUCGUAAUCCUGGCAGGAUCCACGCUAACCCAGAGCAGUCAGACAUCACCACGUUGAUGCCCACAGCCGUGCAGCUCCGGCCACGUGGUGCUGUGUCUACUCUGAGAAACCCGCUGCUGCGGCAGUCCUCGUGUUUCUGUAUCUGGAAGAACUGCCCCAAGCACUCGAGAGCUGUGCAAAAUCUUCCUCUUUCUGGUCUGCUGCUGCUCAGAUCUGUGUUCUGAUCUAGCGUGAUAACAGAAUGAGGGCGUGCAUUCACACGUGCACGUACGUGCAUGCAUUUUAGCCUCUCGCCUUUUUAAAAUCUGAAAUACCACCGUGCGUUUGUCUCUGUGCCAGUGUGUCUGCCAUGCAUCAGUGAACUAACAUUCCUCUUCAUGAUCUUUACUGUCCCAUCUCAUGAGAUAUGAAUCAGCACUGCUCCUGCUGGGAAGGGUUAUUCGGGGGGAUUAAAAUCGCCGAUUUCAAUCGUGACUAAAAUCAGCGAGCAGGAAACCUUUACUAAAACAGUCAGCUUCUAAAUCAUGAUUUGCAUGUACUCUUUUUAGGCAUUGUAUUUAAGGAAAGGAAUGCUUUCAGUACUUCUGGUAAUUUCAUAUGUCUUUUUUCAUCGUAGACAACAAUUCCUGCAUGUUUCACCAUUAAUAAAACCCAACAUGUACUUCUGGGGGGGCUCCUGAGUUUUUAACUUCUUCUUAUAAUCAGCAAUGCGUUUUCUGUUUGCUGUUUAAUGGAUUAUAUUUUUGUAUAUGACUUAAAUCAAGCUACAUACAAAUGAAAACAGACUUUGAGCAAAAACUCAUAAAAAGGAGAUUAUGAAACAUUUGUCACAUAACCAAAUGCUUCCCUAAAUUGGGAUCAGGGAAAUAGGAGGAAAAGAAACAAACAAACAAACUUGCAAAAUUAAAAUUAAGUCACUGCAAUUAAGUGUAGUCAUUAAGUCAAACUUUUUUUGUUUGGUAAUGAUGAUCUGAGAGAGUUUUGUGAAUCAUAGAUCCUGAUCUCUCGCUCACUGCUUUUGUUAAGAGGCUAUUUUUGCUCCUGUUUUCUUUUACAACUUCCUUUACUUGAGCUAAGUGUUAAGCUCGGCCUGUUGAACACACCAGAGUAAAGAAGAUUCUCUCUAUGGCCUUGAAGAUGAAAGGCUGCAGCUACUGAAAGCUGAUGUAGGAUGUUGGUUGUGCCUGGUUUAACAAGUAUAGGCAAUAGCUUCUGUCCGUUCCAGAUCUACUUUUCUUCAAGACUUCAGCAGCAAGCACCUAACUUCCUGAAUGUUGCUCUCAAGAGAAACUGAAUUUGAAUGGUUUCAAUACAUACAGCAUCUGAAUGUAGUAUGGAUUGUCAUAAUCUGAUGUUAAAAUGUGCGUGUUAGUUUUUACAUUUAUAAACAUGUUUUUAAAAAACAAACCCUCCCUAGCAUGUGCACGUGCUUGUGCAUCCAUAUAGGGAUGAGUGUAAUGUAUGUGAGCUAGCACCCAUUCCUCCCAGGAGGGCAUGAGGCUCCUCCUGCUCUGUGCUCAGACCCUGGCCCGCUCCUGGGCAACCAGCCUGGAGAGGAGGGAAGCUUUGGUGAGGGAUGGAUGCACUUUGAGGCAUGAACCUGCUGAAAUGUGGGUCUUUGGGGGUACCCUUUAAGCCCCCCUUUCUUAAUCUAAGGAAGCGAUUCAUUUCCAGUUCCCAGUUGUGUUCUUGGAUCUUGUGAAAGUGACUUUGUAUUUUAAGUUCAUCUAGUUGUGAACAAGCAAAUGAGACCGAGAGCUGCUUAGAGAUCUUAUAAAUGAAGUUAGAUAUUUUGUCUUCUGAUGCGCUGCAGCUACAUAAUCUUUGCUGGAAAAAGGCCAGCAGGAUGCUGCUUACUGCUUUACGGCCCUGUCUCUCCAGGGCUGCAGAGAUGGCUGUGGGUCCCAUGGAGGGCAGCAAGUUCACAGACACAUGUGGAUAGUGUGAGAUAACACUGAUCACUGCCAGACUCUGGUGCUUUUCUUUUCAGAGAGCUUUGCAAACAUCAGCUGAACACAAAGAUACAAGGCGGGCUCAGUGUUGUCCUUCGCUGUGUGCAUGGACUGGCAGUUCUUGGAAACUGGGGAAGGAAUUAAGGAUGAGAUAAAUCUUCAGAGAAGUGCUCAGGCUGAGGAGUGGGUGAUUUUUCCUUUUCCAUCUCUUUUAGCCAUGGCUUCCUCUGCUGCACAUGACUUCGGUGUUGCUCCUGAUCACAGUUCACCCAGGGUAGGAAUUACUGCUCCUGGCACACACUGUGCUGUUUAAGCAACACGAACCCUGUGCUCUAUCGCUUGUACCUUUGCCUUCUGCUCUCCUAGCUCGACGCCCGCCUGUCCUCAGCCACCUUUGCUGCAGGGUUUCACCCCUGCCAGGCUGCGUCUCGCAUCUUGGGUUGGAUGGCUGAGUGAUUUGAUGGCUGCUUUUGAAAGCCAGUGCACAUAAAUGCUUAUAUUACCAGCGCGCUGUGGCCGAGGGACAUAUGAACCCUUUUUGCAGAGCUAUCAGUAAUUGUCAUUAAUUUGUUCUGAGGAGUCACAUAGGUGCAGCACUUAUCUGGACCUUGCUGAGCCUGCGCCCGGCUGUGAUCGCAAUUUGUCACUAAUUCCCAUCAGGUUAGCAAGCUCUCUGUGCCCACGUGCAAAUGGUGCGGUGUGUUUCAGGGAUCACCUGCAGAGAGCACAGGAGUGCAUUGGGAGUUCCAAGAAAAUCGAAGAGCCCACUGAGUGUAAAAACCAGCGGCUAAAUGAGCACAGAGUUGUUUUUGGAUGGCCAGACCCCUCAAGGGGUAGCAGGAAGAUCUGAGACCGUGGAAGAAAAGUCACAUGUCUGCUUUCACACACUCAGUGCGUUUCUCUCUUCUAAGCAGUGGAAGCACUGACGUGUGCUCAUUUGUCCAGCUGUGAGGUGGGACGGGGCAGGGAUUUGGGGCUGCAGCCUGGUUCUCGGUGAGGGGUGGGUCUGUGGGCACCAGGGCUGCGCUGAGCAGGGGCCUGCUGCCGUCGGGCACAGGGAGUGAGUCCUCAGCAGGCAGGCCAGAAAAUGGAAGUAGCAGCUAGCAAAGCCUCUUGAUGAGAUUAAAACCGACAGGAAAUGAAAACUAACUUUGCCGUUUCUCUGACACGCUGACCGCCCUCCCCCUUUACUGAUACUUGCCCUGUCCUUAGGAGAGCGAUUCCUCGGCCGCCUCCUCCACGCUGGACCCCGCCAUGGCUGGGGUGGGCAGGCCUUGGCUCUUGUCCUGCUUGGCUUUAGACACACCGUGACUGUCAUUGCCACUGUGAGGCUGUGCCUGAAAGCAGGGACGUGUGUAAAGAAGGAAAGUGCAGCGCUUUCCCAUCUCUCUCUCUCUCUCUCUCUCUCUGCCUGUUAAUCUGUUACAACAGAGCUGUUGCUGUGCAGAGUGUGUGAGGCCUCGGCAGCUGCUCCUCCUCCAUGUACCUGCCAACUUCUGACACCUAUAAAUAGGGAUGUUUUGGGGCGGGAGGGAAUAAGACACACCUUCUGACUCCAUUGAAAUACUUGGGCACAACGUGCUGUUUUUGUCACGACAUGCUGGAAAAAAUGAAAUACUGAUAAUCUCUUUUGCCAGAAUGUAGGGGCUCUCCCAGAUAGGAGCAGCUGCCACAUAUAUGUGGCUGAAGCAGAUUUGCUUAGAUUCAUGCUAGUCAUGCUAUGAGCUGCACUGAAAGGAUAUGAAACAAGUCAUCUCUCAUCACCCUCAAAUACGUACCUUUUGCCAAGGUUUGUUUCUUAGAAAUUAGAUGAACCUGGUGAAGCAGGAUCCUGUGCCUAAAAAUAGAGCAUUUUACUUUCCAUCUUACUCCUUGCAGGCAGGGUAUAAAUUUACCUCAGCCAAGAAGCAAGAUGAAAGGUGCCGUGAGCUUUUCCUGCCGACUCCGUCCUCAUGUGAGCUGCUGACAGAAGGCCCUCGUCUUUUCUCAUGGGGCUCAAAGCAAAGAACUGCUACUGCAAGCUGUGGUCAGGGUGGCAAAAUGCAUUUUUGCACCUGAUUUGAGGUCGGCUGCGAUCACAUGGCUUUUUCUAGCCAAGGACGCGACGCCUGGUCUCUUGGGGUUAAAUGCUUUGCAGGGUUUGCAAUCCUGUACAGAGAGACGGAGCUUUAAGCUCGGGAGCUUCUCAAGACGUAGACGAGCCACGCUGCUGUGGCUGCCUGCUGGCCAGUGAAGCGUACAGCUCUGGGAAGGCAGUGUGAGCGGCAGCAGCAGAAGAGCUGGCCACCGGCCAGCCUGAAUGCCACGAUCUCACUGACAGCUUCCUCCCCUCCUUCCCUUACUCCCCACCCCUCUGUCUGAGCCAGGCUGGGGCUGUCCCAGGGCACUCGCUCGGGUUUGUGUGUGUGUGUGUGUGUGUGCGUUGCUUUGCUUUUCUGUGCCUUUUUGCACGUGGAUCUGUCUGCACCUGUCUGCCUGCUGCUUUCCUAACCUCGGCACGCGGGCUGCUUUGAUUCAUGGGAUCUCAAGUGUAUGCGCCAGCGCGCGGCAGCUUGGCACGGGCGUUUCAUUAGAGCAAAGGAGGCCUGUGUCCUGCAGGGCUGUUUUAGUAAAGACAUGUCCCAUCUGCUGCUUCUUAUCACCCUUUUUAUCUGUGCUGCUGACUCACGCAGUGUGGUCUGCUCAGCUCUCCCCUGCAGUCACAUCACACUUUGAGUUACCUUUACUAUGACUCACGCUUAUUUUUUCACUGACAAGUGUCAAGUCAAAAACAACUCCGUCUUGUCCCUCUCAUCUGUGCAGUCCUGUCCUACCCUUUGCCCUCAAACCUUGUCUCUCUGUCACAAUCUCAUCCUCCCCUGCAAGUAAACUACCUGCAACUGAAUAUUAAACUGUGGUAAUUUUGUCUUUUGUAUCACGUCAGUGCCGUGCACUUUGAGGCUUUUGAGAUGGCCUGACCCAACCUCAAAUGCCUCAAUUGCCCUUAGUUGCCUUUGCUGAUGUGUUUGGUAGAGAACAAUUAUUUUUAAAAAAAGGUCUAAAUUUAAAGCAAAAAUGUAUUUAUUAAUGUUUUGGUGUGAAAUUUUGCCUUGAGACAAAAUGUGUGUCUUUAAGAGACAAAAAUGUGUCUCCUAAUGCCUAGUAUAUGUACACAGAACCAAAGCCUCUUGACUUUGGAUUUGCCUGUGUUGGGCUAAUUAGACCAUGGUUUCAGAAAACUCGUGCUGAGGUUUCCCUUGCUUGUUCUUGACCUGCUCUUCUACAAUCAGUUCCUAGCCCAAGGUGUGCAUUCGCUGUGGGCAACCUGUAAAUUGGUGUACUGGGGUUGAAGUGCUUUUUAUGGUUUGUGAUGCCCACUUGAAGUGCUAUUUUAUGGUUUUCAGGUUAAAGGGAAUGAGUUAUGGAGUCUUGGCAUUUCUUUCCUUUGGGUGAGGGGAAUUUUGCCAGGGCCUUCUUUGUGGAGAUUUUGUACCUUUGACCCUUUCCAGUGCUGAGAUCCCUAAAUCCUUUUCAGAGGAGCUGAAUGUGGGCUCCACUGAGGAGGAUGAGGACAGAUAGUUGGCAGGGCUUGCUCUGUGGUUUGCCUGCGUGUUGAGUUCUGCUUUUCACUGUCCUGAGCCCUUGGUCACACUGAACUUAUGUCACAACUGGCAGUCACUUUGCCUUGAAUAAAUCUUGUUGAAUUGGGCUUGUGCAUUGCUGUUGAGAUAACUACCUUUAUCAUAUUGAAACUGGCCUAGAAAUGAAGGUCGGAAAUCCAGGAAGAAGUUCUAGAACAAGCAAGGCAGACGGAGAUGACGGAAGUUUUUACUCCUAUUCUUCUAGCAAGAGAGUAGACAGAUUGAGAUUGCUGCGUCAGUUUUCUAGGAACAAAAUCAAACUUUUUUUUAUCAGUGGCCCUAACAAAUGAUGAGAAUGCUCUAGCAUUCUUUUAGACCAAACUGCUUAAAAUUUUUCCAAGACCAGGCUGUUCUUGCCAGCCUCACCCUCCCGAGGUGAAGGAAAAGGCCUUUCUGUACCCUUCUGCAGCAGACUGUGUUAGAGAUGUGGUAGCAUCCUCCGGAAGGGACCAGACCUCGCUUCAGCAUUUCCAUGCUGGUAUGCCUGCUGAGCAGUGGCUGUGGUGGUGCAGGCCUUUUGCUGCUUGCAGUCUGGAAAUACUAGGAGAGCAGUAAGUGCUGAUCUUUACUCUUCUGCAGUGCUGGAGUUGGCUGCUUGCUUCUGUCUCUGGGUAGGUAGACUGUGUCCUCUCCCUUUCCCAUCUUUCCUUCCUGUUGAGAUUGAAAGUUUGACAGUUCUGUGAAUUGCUGUUGCUGGCUGUCCCCUGGGCUGCCUCACCAAGCUUUGUUGGUCCCUGGUGUAAAUAAGCAGGGCUAAUCAUGGUUGUAAGCAAAAUAUUCCGUUGUAUUUGAGAAGCAUCUUGUUUUCUUGUAAGCAUGAGUACAUUCCAUGCCCCAGUCCCCAAGUGUGUGGCCAUCUUGCUGAACACAUGGUAGCACGAAUAGUAAAUGGGGGUCUCUUGUUUGAGUCCUCAGCCCUUUGGAGGUUGUGCUGCUGCCUCUGCGAGAACACAGCCCUGGGUCAUAUAUAGGGCCUGACCCUGACUGGUUGCCAGCAAGGCGCUGAGGUAUGUCCCAGCCGUGCUGCAUGGUGUGAGGUAGAUUGAUGUUAUCAGGGGAGGUCCCUCCCCCAGGAGUCAUGUGCCCUUGGGAGAGGGUGCCACGGGGAGACUUCUCCUUUUUCUGGUUUCACCCGA
ensembl:lncRNA